AUAGCGUAUAUUAAAGUUGUUGCAGUUAAAAAGCUCGUAGUUGAAUUUCGGGAUCAAUAUGCUGGUCGCGCCAUUGGUACGUACUAGUAUUAUUGGUUUCUCCUUUCUGAUGAAUCAUGAUGUCAUUAAUUUGAUGUCAUGAGGAAUCAGGACUGUUACUUUGAAAAAAUUAGAGUGUUUAAAGCAGGCUCGCGCUUGAAUACAUUAGCAUGGAAUAAUGAAAUAGGAUGUUUGAUUCUAUUUUGUUGGUUUCUAGGAUUGACGUAAUGAUUAAUAGGGAUAGUUGGGGGCAUUAGUAUUCAAUUGUCAGAGGUGAAAUUCUUGGAUUUAUUGAAGACUAACUACUG
rnacentral:rRNA from 1 species